UGGUGCGAUCAUACCAGCACUACAACACCGAAUUCC
rnacentral:rRNA from 1 species